CCUACGGGGCGCAGCAGUAGGGAAUCUUUCACAAUGGGCGAAAGCCUGAUGGAGCAACGCCGCGUGCAGGAUGAAGGCCUUCGGGUUGUAAACUGCUUUUAUAAGCGAGAAAUAUGAUGGUAACUUAUGAAUAAGGAUCGGCUAACUACGUGCCAGCAACCGCGGUCAUACGUAGGAUCCGAGCAUUAUCCGGAGUGACUGGGUGUAAAGAGUUGCGUAGGUGGCAUAAUAAGUAGCUAGUGAAAUCUGGUGGCUCAACCAUUCAGACUAUUAGCUAAACUGUUAAGCUCGAGACCGUUAGGGGUAACUGGAAUUUCUAGUGUAGGAGUGAAAUCCGUAGAUAUUAGAAGGAACACCAAUAGCGUAGGCAGGUUGCUGGGACGGUUCUGACACUAAGGCACGAAAGCGUAGGGAGCAAACGGGAUUAGAUACCCCAGUAGUC
rnacentral:rRNA from 1 species